AGUUAAAGUGUAUGCUUUUGGUAACUGUACUCCUAAAACUGUGGGAGGAGUAGCGUAUAGAAAAUUGCAAAAUUUUCAUUGGCCGUUGCUAGCUCCGCCCACUUUGGGGUGUCCCCCCAAAAUUAACAGUUUUGUUCGGGGUGACACCAACAAUAUGUGAUCCGAGUUUGGGGAAUGUAGCUUCAAAAUUGUGCGAGUGAGAGUGACUUGAAAAUUUUCCCUGUCAAAGUCUAUGGGAAAA